CACGUAGGGUGCGAGCGUUGUCCGGAAUUAUUGGGCGUAAAGGGCUCGUAGGCGGUUUGUCACGUCGGGAGUGAAAACUCGGGGCUUAACCCCGAGCCUGCUUCCGAUACGGGCUGACUAGAGGUAUGCAGGGGAGAAUGGAAUUCCUGGUGUAGCGGUGAAAUGCGCAGAUAUCAGGAGGAACACCGGUGGCGAAGGCGGUUCUCUGGGCAUUACCUGACGCUGAGGAGCGAAAGUGUGGGGAGCGAACAGG
rnacentral:rRNA from 1 species